CCUCAAACCAAAUAUUGUUUUUUUUUUAUUAUUUUAAUUUUUUUUUAACAAAGAGGAAUAACAGGGACAUUUAUUUGGCAAGGACAAUCAUGAAACUCGCCCCAAACUCUCAAUUCAUCUGAUCAAUUCUCAGUUCAAUCACGAGAUUUCAUAAUACAUAACGCCUUUUCUGAGCCAAUUAUUUCUUUCGAUUUUGAAGAAACUUCCUGUUUGAAGUUCCACAGUAGCCAAUUAUCACUCCUCUUCUCCAAAGUCCAUGAGGAAAUCAGUCAAGUUCUCUGAAUCUUCUAUUGCUUCCUCAAGAGACAUGCGACCGUCCUUUUUAAGCUUUUCCUGCAGGUUGAAUGAAAGCAAGAAAAUUUUACUGGCUUGAAAUGCGUGAAAAAAGAAACUGGUUGGUGAAUAAUAUUCAGGAAACAAAUUUGUUUGAACACAAAUUGGUCCAUCGAAUUUUCAAUCUCUAGGUCCUGACAAAAAUAAAUCUUCUGCUUCUGUCCUGUGGUAUUCUAUUACUUGAAAAUAAUGCAAAUGCUUUCAACAUUUUCUACAAGAAGGAUAGCACAAGCAGAUGUUCAUUCAAAAACUAUAGAAUAGAUAAGACAAGUAGUUUCAGAACCAUGAGAUUAGAAUGAAAGUGAUCGAACAUGAUUCAGAAACAGGAGAUGAACUGAUGAAUACAAUGGUUCUGCUGGUAGCCUGUGAGCAUAUGGGUCUCAGCAAGGCAAGAAAUCCCACAUAAUUUAGUAGAAAAAACCACCACCAUUAAUUAAGCAGAGGACUGUACACAGAAUGCGCUAAAUAUGUGUGUAUGCACAUGUCUGACUUGGCUAAGGCAGAGAAUUACAAAAUCUAAUAGAAUAUAACAAACCUUUGAUUUGCGAAGCUUAGGAGUAGACUUUAGAACACUCCAAUUGCGUGUAAUUUUCUCCUCCUCCUCCUCCUCCUCUUCACCUAAAUCACUAUCCUCUCCUUCAUCGUCAUUUUCGCCAAUGUCAACAGCUUGUUCCAUAGCUUCAUCCAUGUCUGUCAUCUCAAGUUGUUCUGUCUUCUCUUUUGCCAGAAUCUUUUCAAACUCCUCCCUAGGUACAAUUUUGCCAUGCUGAUAAAAUCAAGGAAAAGAAAGUCAGAGCUUAACGUACAAAGACGAUAAUCACUCGCCUCGCCUAAAACACAAAUUAUUCCACUCAUUUUGUAUAGAAUGUGAUUUCAAAUGGGCCAAAGAGAAAAGUUACAUUUUAAGCAUGCUUGAAACAAGACCUCAGGGAUUCAGAAUCACCAUGAGGGAAAUGAUGUUUUGGAUCAAAUUGCAUAAUACCACUUUUCUUUUCCCAAUCUUACAACAUCACUCCUAUUUAACUUGGAAUCUUGAUGCAAAUGAAAUGAAAACAAGCUAUAAAAAACCUUAGCUCCUCAGAUAAAAUCCAUAUUUCACAUCAAUAUCUUUUCUUGCAUGCUGCAUCCAAUUCUAGUGUGAUCUACAGGGCUAGAAGAAAUGUAAAACUAUGAUUCUCAAAUGGUUUAAGGCCAGAUCCCACCCAAAAUUAAACUUGAUUUCUUUAAUCUGGAUGUUGCACUAGAAUUCAUUCGUUCCAGGCACAACUAAUGCAAAAGAAAAAGUCAAUCUGAUAUUAAAACCCAGCUUCCGAUUGGCAUAAAUUCAGUUGGAUAAUUACAGACAUGAUCCUACUUGAACUGGCAAAUAGCACAUAUAAUUCAUGCAAAUGCAAAAAACGACAGUAUAAGACCCAAAUAAGUAAUACAUGCGUAGAAGCAUAGAAAUCAGAUGAGAUUAUGAGAACUACUCGAUCAGACACGCAGACUGCAGGCAUGUUAGUUUCAUCAGCAGUAUGCUGACCUCAUCAACUUUUGGAGAUCAUCUGAUGAAUGCUCCAGGCUUGAACUUUGGACCAUGAUAUUUCAGAAAUUGAUUAACUUCCUUUUAUCAACCAAAUUAUUUCAUAACGGGAAAACCAUAAAAAAAAUCUAUGACAAACUGCUUGACUGUAACCUAUCUUUGAUAUGGUGAACAAGUGGAUCCGAAGCAGAGUGUUAACCUCUUUCAGGAAAGCCAGCAUAUUGGGUGUUGGUUCAUGAAAAUCAGGACCCCUAUAAUCAACUAUUUCAUUUGGAUCUUGGAUAUAGUUGAUAGUUGGGUAAACUGGAUCUCCACCCCAAAUUUGCUUUAUUAGAUCCUCCCGCAUUCUCAUUGCUAAAGGAUCCCUACGAAUACGAAUAUCUGUCCCCAUCAUUAUGCGAUAUUCUCGAUCAGUUUGAUGGCAGAACAUUUCAAUUAGUUGGGUGUUUUCAUCUUCACCAGUCUCUUCAAAAUGCUUCUGAAUAGCUUCACAAGAGGUGUCUUUCUUCCAUGCUUUUACCCAUUCUGAGUAAUAUGCUAUAGGACCUAUUCUUUCCAGUCUCCCUUGUUCAGCUUGAAGUCUUUCUUCUUUAAAAAGAUGUUUUCUAGCUCUGUACAGAGCAGCCUCUGUCAAUGUUGGAGUCUCGCCAUAAAGCUUCACUUGCCCAGUUUCAGCCAUUGCUUUGAGAAAAACCGUUUCCACAUCAGGUUUCCGUCUUUGCCAUCUUGACCAUUGCUCAUUCUCUGGCUUUCUCCAGUUCCACCAUAAUUCUUCACUUGUAAGCGUCCCCUCAAUUGGCUUCUUGACUUUUGGAUCAAUAAAGGGAUGAGGGCGUCCCAGCUUCUUGUCUAAUUCAUAUCCAGUUUCUUGCUCUUCCUCAGGUUCCAUCUGAUAAACCACAUAAUCAGAUGAGAUAUCUUUAGGUUCUUCCAUUGUCUCGUCGAGAGUAUCAGGUGCCUUGGGAGCUUCUAUGGUCACUUCAUUAGAUUCAGGAGCAGUGGCUGAUGUUCUGUACUUUUUCCUCCUACUUCCAGGCCUUUCACCAUAAGAUGGAGAUCCUGCUGACGUGCCUGUUGGUUCAGGAGCCCU
rnacentral:misc_RNA from 1 species